UAGGCACAUCCGGAAAUGUUUCAGCAAACAUACAAAAGUCCUCCUCCGUCCUGUCCUCUAAGUGGCCCCAAGGUGCAUCACAGAACCAUGGGUAUCCACGACUAGGAUCCACAAGACGCCUACAGCCCUUUUGCUUUCAGUCUGUAUCUGUCUGAAAUGAGGACUAUUUUCUGCUGGAACUGAUCCUGAGUUUACCUGACUGUGUUACGGAUGCCAUGAUUCCUCGGUCAGAAACUGAGCUGCGGAAGAGAUCUUGGGAAUGAAAGAUUGGCUUGACAGCUUCCUAUCUGCCCAGCAGAAAAUCAAUUGUGUUCCCAGUUAAGCAUAUCAAGAGGAGACAGACUUUUGACUCAAAUUUAGCCUUGUUUGCAAGAAGAGAAGACUCAACCUAAACGUUCACCUGAUUAAAAUUCCUGACUAAGGAACUGAUUAAAUGAAUGAGGGUGUAUCCUUAUCAGGGAAUGCAGGGGGAUUCAUUAUAUUGACUCAUGUUGGCUGUUGUUUAGUCACUGAGUGGUGUCUGACUCUGCAACUGCAUGGACUGUAGCUUGCUGGGCUCCUCUGUCCAUGGGAUUUCCCAGGCAAAAAUACUGGAGUGUGUAGCCAUCUUCUCCUCCAGGGGAUCUUCCCCACCCAGGGAUGGAACCUGCAUCUCCUGCACUGAAGGCAGACACUUUAUCACUGAGCCACCAGGGAAGCCCAACCUUGAGUCAUGUCUUCUACUGUAUCAUCCUUAUGUUGAUUAUUCCCAAAUAGUCUCCAAGAACAAUUAAGUGAAAAACAGUGCAAACUGAUAUGUAUGAUGUGGCAUCAUUUAUAUAAAAAGUAAGGAUCCAUUAAUUAUAUAGGUACAUGUAUGUGUGUAUGCUUAGAGAGCAUAGGAAAAUCUGGAAAAACACCAGAAGAAAAUGGAGCUGAGGAGAAGGGGGAAAAUACACGUUUCUUCUCCAUUUGUAUUCCUCUGUAUAGCUCGUCUUCUUUUGUUCCGUCAGGCCGCUCCCCGUUUCUCCUCCAGGUGCGUCUGCCCGCUCUGCCUGCCCAGGCUCCGCGGAGAUGCAGGAGGGGACAGUGGCCACCACGUGGUGGCUGGGGUCCCAGGCCUGGACAGGCCGGUUCCAGCUCUCCGAGGCUCCUCCUUGGCACAGCCUGGAAGAGAGACAUGAUGGAUGCUUCGACCGCUGCCUCCCAGCGAGGACGCGUCGCUGACUCCGCUGCUUAUUGACUCUGGCCCGGCUGCAAUCUGGUGCGAAGGACAUGGGGACUUGCUGACCCCUCCAAGGUGGAGUUAGACUCUGGGAAGUUGUGGUUUUGCAAACCCGGAGUUCUCCAGGCCAGGAGUACCCAGGACUGGGCAAUGCGACUGCCCCCAUGAGAUGGCUGACUCCAUAAUGACUGCAUUAAAGAAGGAAGGGACGAGGCGGAGACCAGGCCUUCUCACUCUGCAGCGACGGCUGCUGUUGCUUUUCAAAAUUCCUUCUGCUAUUUUUUUCCCCAAAUCUACAGCACAGAUGUGGUGCCUCGUGAGCAGUUUGCACCGAGCAGGUUGGAGCCCGGCCAGUGACCUACUGAGUGACCGGCUGAGUGAGUGCCGCUUUUGCGGAGGGCUUGCUCUGGGUUGCUGGGGGACAGGCAGCCUGUCCUUCCCCUUCCCCAGUCCUGCAGAGGAGUGGAGACCCCGCCUCUCUCGGUAGCAGCCCGGGCUGGAGGCUGCCUUCUUAUGGAGUGGACAGGCCUGGAGACUCCCAGACUUGUCAAGGAUGGCCCCUUUGAUGAAUUACAAGUCAAGGGUAAUAAGCCCGCUGCAACUUUGACUGUGUUUGUCUAUGUAAGAUAUAUUCAAUCAGCCGUUUGGUACACUUUCUGUUAUAUGCUGGUUUCUUGGUUUUUUUCCUCCAUUAGAUAAAUAAAGCCACGCUAGUUUCUUUUCAUGGC